GCCCGCUCAAGAAACUUAAAGGAAGUUGACGGGGACCCCGGCACGAAGCGGUGGAGCAUGUGGUUUAAUUCGACGAUACGCGAAGAACCUUACCUGGCCUUGACAUACUAAAAAGCUUUAAGAGAUUAGAGUGUGCUAGCUUGCUAGAAUUUAGAUACAGGUGCUGCACGGCUGUCGUCAGCUCGUGUCGUGAGAUGUUGGGUUAAGUCCCGCAACGAGCGCAACCCUCGUGUUUAGUUGCUAACAGUUCGGCUGAGAACUCUAAACAGACUGCCUACGCAAGUAGGAGGAAGGUGAGGACGACGUCAAGUCAUCAUGGCCCUUACGGCCAGGGCUACACACGUGCUACAAUGGGGUAUACAAAGAGCGGCGAUACGGUGACGUGGAGCAAAUCUAGAAAAUGCCUCUCAGUUCGGAUUGUAGUCUGCAACUCGACUACAUGAAGUUGGAAUCGCUAGUAAUCGUAGAUCAGCAAUGCUACGGUGAAUACGUUCCCGGGUCUU
rnacentral:rRNA from 1 species